AAAAAACAAAGAACACUUCUUGGCUGUAUUCUUCAGAGCUGGGUUGCAUCCGAAGCCACGGGAGCCCUGUGACCUUCGCCUCCUCUGUCGUGAUGGGAAAGGACAUCAUGAUGACCAUUACUUCUGAAACAGACUCUUGCAAAGGAAGAAGUGAUUGCCAUUUCUCCUAGACUCAGUUUUUUUUUCAAAAAUCACACACACAUAGCGUGUGUUAUUAGUAUUUACAUUACAAAGUAGGAUAAAAUCUGCUGACCGAAUACCUGGGAUAUGUGUGAUCCCAGACCAGUUUUAAAAACAGAGGGCGAUUUCUGGAGAUGAGUACUGCUGGCCAUGAAGUCACAGGGGUGGAGGAUGUCCUGGUGUGUGCUGACUUCACCCCUUCCAAAGGGCGAUCAACAAGUGGCAGCAACAAAGGGGAGGACACAAGAGCAGAAUUUGCGAUGGGAAAAAACACCAUCUGUGAUAAACCGAAGCUCUGGGUGUCUGCUUUCGGAGGGCAAAGUGUGAGAGGAGCGGCUGAGGCCCCUCGGCGUGCUCAGCGCAGAGCAGAGGAGCUGAGGGGAGGCCUCAUGGCGGCCGCAGCUCCUCACAGGGAGCGGAGGGGCAGCGCUGAGCUCUGCUCUGUGUGACAGCGACAGGGCCCGAGGGAACGGCAUGGAGCUGUCAGGGGAGGGGCAGCUGGGGGUGAGGGAAAGGGGCUGCACCAGAGGGCGGUGGGCAUGGAACGGGCUGCCCAGGGCUGUGGGCACGGCCCCCAGUGCCGGAGUUCAAGGGGCCCUCAUACUCUGGGUUUGAAUGCCGAGGUGCCCUGCGUGCAGCUCCAGCUCCGCACCGCCAGGUGGCAGCAGGCCUUCUCCUAUCGGCUGCUCGCCGUGGCUUCGGGGUUUUUGAUGUUGUCGGUAAUCGUUAAUUAAAAAUGAGCUCCGACUUCUCUGCCGAGGCUCCCUCGAGGUCUCCAGAGGAACAGUCUGGGAUGCUCACUGAACAUCCAUCUGCUCAGCAGCAGUGCUCGCAAGUGUUUCACCGGGACAGAAGAGACUCUGGAAGCUGAAGGGCUGCAACUGCAAGCCUGCGCGUUUGGACUGCUGAGCCAGCAGAGAAGUGGGCGAGGAGAAGCGAGACGGACCCUUGGAUGCCAACAUGCAGGUGCAGACCUUUCCGCUGUAAGCCCCAUAACCACAAGCCAGCCCAAAAGGACAGUUGGUACUGCGGACAUAACUGAGUGAAGUACAGCAUCGUGAAACUGCAGGAACGCUGUGACAGAAUAAUCUCAUACCAUUCAUCAGAAAAGGCGCUAAGGCAGCAAUGUGGAUGUCCAGCCCAGUGGAAAUGGUUUCGCAUGAUCUCUGAACUGGACGAAACAUUGGCAAGGGGUGCUGGCAACUGAUGGCAAAGGGUUGGUCACGUAUCCCACCGCCAGGUGUGUGCUGAGCAUCCUGCACGACCUCGUGGUUGUCACAGCAGCACAGGGACUGCACUGACUGAGGACCCACAGACCAACGUGAGACCCCUUCUCACACCUGCUGUAAAUGGAUGCCACGUGAAGAGUGCUGAGCGUAAGAUUCCUUGGGUUUCUCACAGGAUGCAAAGAGCCACCUCCAUGUUUACAGCACUGGAAUUGUAAGAUUUUCACCCUUCGGUCAUUUUUUUCCUUGAUUUUAUCGCAAGUUUUCUAUUACGGAGUACUCUUCCUAAGGAUACUUUACAUAAAAGACAAAAUAAAUGUAAUUGCAUCCAGAAAAUGCUCACGUGUGGUCAGAUGCUGUUAAGAUCACACUAAUUCUUGUGGAAAUUUUGUUCACUAUUUGUUUCUGAUGAGCACAGGGAUUGACAGCAUCCCUUAAAGACAUGAAAACAAAUAACUCCCUUUCAAGCACAGUCAGUAUUCCUUGCGCUGUGCUGGCACAGUGCAUCCCCUGGAUGAGUAUGCAGUGCUGGAUGGCUGCCUCUUCACCUGCAGGGCUUAUGGAGCCCUCACCUUGCUCAGAUUACCUGAGGGUAAUUUCUGGACUGGUUUGUGGCUUUGGGAUGAGGAAUUCAGCUCUCAUCACCGCACGUAGCCUGUGGGAAUGAGCAGGCAUAUGGAAUUAGGCUGCUGGGAGCAGAAGGCACCAAGUGAGCUUUCAAAUGCUCCAUCAGCAGUCAAACAGCAUUUUUCACCUCUACAUCCCUUACUUCCCAAAUCGUGGUUUAUAUUCAUGCACAUUAUCCGUGUAUCUGUAGUAACAAAAUGACUACACAUUUUGUUUCCUCACCUACCUUGGGAAUUACCUCCUGAAUGGACUAAGUACUCCGAUAACAAGAAAAAAAUACUGCUGUCGAUAUGUAAAGGAAGUGUAUAAAUACUUCUGAGUUAACCAUGGUUGAAAUAGCCUUAAUCCAAAUCAGAUGUGUUUUUUUUUGUUUGUUUGUUUGUUUGCAUUGCAAAAGUCAAAAUGAGGAAGGAGUAACUGGGAGCAAAGAAGUCUCUGUAUGUCCUCUGAUGCCAGCUGUGGUGCUGCGAGCUUUAGAUCUGUGUUUUUUCCCCUCAUCUUUAAUUAAGCUUAAUGAUAAUGUGUGAUUUCUCAAGUGUAUUUUAAUGGUGUAGGUUGCUCCAGGUGAAUAAAAAAUAUUGCACAGCUGUUACAGGGCUCUGCCUUCCCUGGGCAUGGGAGCAGCGCUGCACUGUAAGCGUUACUCUGUUAUCUGCAGCUAACUGUUAGAAAUGCUCUUCCAAGCAACAAGAUGCCUUCUUCCCAACUUAUCGGUGACGCUGCGUGUCAAUGGGUUAUUCAAAAGAAGUGCCACUUACAGUUCUGCUGAACUAAAGUGCAGAUGACAGGAAAAAUCAGUGCUUUCCAAACUGAAACAAAAUACCUUCGGUUCCUGCUUGCUGUGCAUCGUGAAUCUGUUUGCACCCCACCAGAAGCCAAGCGAGCAGAAUUUGAUUCAAUACAACUAACAGGAUGUGUUAUUUUCAGGUUCAUGAACAAGAACUGUUGGUUCAUUCUUCUUCCUUUCUCCUUUUCUCUUCAACUGCUGAUUCAUUUUCAGCUAUAAAUCAUCCUGGCUGGAAAUUCUGUGUAAGCCAUUAGAAAUGAAGACACAAAGUGACCAGCUGAAAAGCCAAGGAGCUGCAGUUUGACAUGCUUUCAAUACUGUAAAUGCUAAUACAACCUGAACAACUUCAGUGCAACAACUACUGCUCUGCUAAUUAAGCAACUUUUUAAUGGGACACUUUGAAGCCAGUAGGUAUAUAUUUAUUUCACAAUCGAAACAUCUCUGAAGUCCAGGUGGCAUUAAAUUUUGCAUGAGCUUCUGGUAAAUUACAGAACUUAUUUUCCUUUAAAAGCUGUAGAAAGAAAAUUUCAGGGGGGGGAAAAAAAAGGUGCAUGCGUGUUUCUCUAAUAAGAGAGUUCUGAUUCAGGACAGAUAAUCUCCAGGACAGAUAAUCUCUUUUUACGUAAUCAUGAGAGCGGGCAGAAAAAAAAUGCCCCCGAUGUAAAGCAUGUACAUUAAUCAAACUGUGUGCAACCUGAGCUGCUGAGGAAGCAACAGAGAGUUGCAGCGGGCAAAAAAGCAUUGUAAUUCAUAUUGAUCAAAAGGAACCAUCGUAUGUCUGUUUGGCUAAGUCGCACAGGUCACUUUCUGAGGGCAAAAUGAAGUAAUGAUACUGUAACUAACAUAUUUAAUUUGUUUUUCGUUUCUCCCCCUCAGCCUUUCAAACCAUUCAUUAAGUCUCUGGAGGCUACAUAUAUAGCUGUAUUCCUUGCUCUGUUGAACGCUCCUAAUUUUGAUUCAUUCUGUUGGCAUUUUAAGCUGAAGGCAAAAAUACAUACAUAUACAUAAAAGGGUUAUUGCAAAGUCUUCGUUGUCUUCUUGGGAAUGUGCCUGCCUGCCCAAACCUUGGGAGCAACUUCCUUUUUUGUUAUUAUUCACAUUCCUUCCCUAUUCUAUCUCUCAGUUCACGCCUCCAAUUAAAAGGAUAAUCCAGUUCUGAUCUUCACAUUUUUAUUUCACAUCCUAAGAGGCACUUGAAACAAGCACAUGAUAAUCACAUUACAUAAAUCUUACUUGUAUGCAUUGUACAUGUUUCUGUCAACGUGCUAGUGAUACUCAGUGUGGUUCUAGAACGUUUGCAUACAAAUUAUAUUGCCAGUCACUCCUCACCCUAUUACAUAAACAAUUCACAGAACCAUAGAAUCACAGGAUGGCUGAGGCUGGCAGGGAUACCUGCAUCCCUCUGGCCCAAUUGCUCUCCAGCAGGGCCACCCAGAGCGGGGUGCUCAGACCCACG
rnacentral:lncRNA from 1 species